rnacentral:rRNA from 1 species
CACGUAGGCACCAAGCGUUGUCCGGAUUUAUUGGGCGUAAAGAGCUCGUAGGCGGUUCAGUAAGUCGGGUGUGAAAACUCUGGGCUCAACCCAGAGACGCCACCCGAUACUGCUGUGACUUGAGUACGGUAGGGGAGUGGGGAAUUCCUGGUGUAGCGGUGAAAUGCGCAGAUAUCAGGAGGAACACCAGUGGCGAAGGCGCCACUCUGGGCCGUAACCGACGCUGAGGAGCGAAAGCGUGGGUAGCAAACAGG